GUUAAUUUAUUUGUUUUAUUAUUUAUUUAGAUGUAAGUUAUUGUUAUAUUAAAAUUCUAAAUGAUAAUAUUUUUUUUGCAAUGAAUAUAAUUAUUAAUAUUAAAUUACUUUAGAUUUAGAAAUUAUAAAAAGGAUUAGUAAAGGUUGUGCCAGCAUCUGCGGUUAUACAUUAAAUUCAAAUGAAUAUUAUUGGUUUUGAAGUAAUUAUUAUAAUAAUAUUAUAUAUUUAUUAAUUUUAAAUAUUUUUUGGUGAAAUAUAUAAAUAUUUAAUAUUAAUAAUAUUUAAAUAAUAGCAUAGUAGGAAGAUGAAAUUAUGAAAUUAAAUUUUUAAACUAGGAUUAGAUACCCUAUUAUUUUUAAUGUAAAAUUAUAAAGCUUGAGUAAUAUUAGUUAUGAUCUUUAAACUUAAAGAAUUUGGCGGUGUUAAAUUCUAUUUAGAGGAAUCUGUUUUAUAAUUGAUAGUCCACGUUGAAUCUUACUUAGAAUAAAUAUCUUGUAUAUCGCUGUUUAUUGAAUAUACUUAUAGGUUAUUUUUUAAAUAUUAUUUAGAUAAUACUUCAAGUCAAGGUGCAGUUAUGUUUAAGUAAUAAAUGGAUUACAAUAAAUUUUAUUUAUAUGGAUUAUUUUUGUAAUAGUGAUAUGAAGGUGGAUUUAAUUGUAAUUUUAUAAAGAUUAUUAAAGUGAUUUAAGUUUUUUAACAUGUACAUAUCGCCCGUCACUCUCAUUAAUGAAAUGAGAUAAGUCGUAACAAAGUAGAUUUAUUGGAAAGUGAAUCUAGACUUAAUUAAAAUAUAUUU
rnacentral:ncRNA from 1 species